rnacentral:rRNA from 1 species
AGAGUUUGAUCCUGGCUCAGGAUGAACGCUGGCGGCGUGCUUAACACAUGCAAGUCGAGCGAAAAUAAUUGAGAGCUUGCUUUUGAUUAUUUUAGCGGCGGACGGGUGAGUAACGUGUGGGCAACCUACCUUUUACUGUGGAAUAAUCGUUGGAAACGACGACUAAUACCGCAUACGAUUUUCUGAAGGCAUCUUUGGGAAAAGAAAGGAAAUAUUCGGUAAAAGAUGGGCCCGCAUCUGAUUAGCUAGUUGGUGAGGUAACGGCUCACCAAGGCGACGAUCAGUAGCCGGACUGAGAGGUUGGCCGGCCACAUUGGGACUGAGAUACGGCCCAGACUCCUACGGGAGGCAGCAGUGGGGAAUAUUGGGCAAUGGGCGCAAGCCUGACCCAGCAACGCCGCGUGAAGGAAGAAGGCUUUCGGGUUGUAAACUUCUUUUGACAGGGAAGAGUAGAAGACGGUACCUGUCGAAUAAGCCACGGCUAACUACGUGCCAGCAGCCGCGGUAAUACGUAGGUGGCAAGCGUUGUCCGGAUUUACUGGGUGUAAAGGGCGUGUAGCCGGGUUGACAAGUCAGAUGUGAAAUCCCGCGGCUUAACCGCAGAACUGCAUUUGAAACUGUUGAUCUUGAGUACUGGAGAGGCAGACGGAAUUCCUAGUGUAGCGGUGAAAUGCGUAGAUAUUAGGAGGAACACCAGUGGCGAAGGCGGUCUGCUGGACAGCAACUGACGGUGAGGCGCGAAAGCGUGGGGAGCAAACAGGAUUAGAUACCCUGGUAGUCCACGCUGUAAACGAUGGAUACUAGGUGUGCGGGGACUGACCCCCUGCGUGCCGCAGCUAACGCAAUAAGUAUCCCACCUGGGGAGUACGAUCGCAAGGUUGAAACUCAAAGGAAUUGACGGGGGCCCGCACAAGCGGUGGAUUAUGUGGUUUAAUUCGAUGCAACGCGAAGAACCUACCAGGGCUUGACAUCCUACUAACGAAGUAGAGAUACAUUAGGUACCCUUCGGGGGAAGUAGAGACAGGUGGUGCAUGGUUGUCGUCAGCUCGUGUCGUGAGAUGUUGGGUUAAGUCCCGCAACGAGCGCAACCCUUAUUGUUAGUUGCUACGCAAGAGCACUCUAGCGAGACUGCCGUUGACAAAACGGAGGAAGGUGGGGACGACGUCAAAUCAUCAUGCCCCUUAUGUCCUGGGCUACACACGUAAUACAAUGGCGGCCAACAGAGGGAUGCAAAGCUGUGAAGUGGAGCGAACCCCUAAAAGCCGUCCCAGUUCAGAUUGCAGUCUGCAACUCGACUGCAUGAAGUCGGAAUCGCUAGUAAUCGCGAAUCAGAAUGUCGCGGUGAAUACGUUCCACGGGUCUUGCACUCACCGCCCGUCA